GAUGAACGCUGGCGGCGUGCCUAAUACAUGCAAGUCGAGCGAACAGAUGAGGAGCUUGCUCCUCUGACGUUAGCGGCGGACGGGUGAGUAACACGUGGAUAACCUACCUAUAAGACUGGGAUAACUUCGGGAAACCGGAGCUAAUACCGGAUAAUAUAUUGAACCGCAUGGUUCAAUAGUGAAAGACGGUUUUGCUGUCACUUAUAGAUGGAUCCCUGCCGCAUUAGCUAGUUGGUAAGGUAACGGCUUACCAAGGCCACGAUGCGUAGCCGACCUGAGAGGGUGAUCGGCCACACUGGAACUGAGACACGGUCCAGACUCCUACGGGAGGCAGCGGUAGGGAAUCUUCCGAAAUGGGCGAAAGCCUGACGGAGCAACGCCGCGUGAGUGAUGAAGGUCUUCGGAUCGUAAAACUCUGUUAUUAGGGAAGAACAAAUGUGUAAGUAACUAUGCACGUCUUGACGGUACCUAAUCAGAAAGCCACGGCUAACUACGUG
rnacentral:rRNA from 1 species